GGGGUUUCAGUUUUUAGAACACCACUUUUGCAUAGUGGAGGGUUUACCUCA
rnacentral:tRNA from 1 species